GCAAAGCAAGCUAGAUUUACUAUGCAAUUUCUACUUCCAUUCAUAUGACUUUAAUAUCUUAUGGGCUACUUCUUUCCUUUUUCCCUCAGUUCAUAUAAUUACUGCUAAAUUAACUGAACAAAAAUUAAGAUUACAUACCAAUAGCAAAUUCUAAUCUGCCAUCCUCCAGUGAAAUGUCUUGAAUUUGGAAGAUUAUUGUAUAAAAUUAAUAGUAUAACAUUAAUAUUUCCAUAUAGCUCUUAAUUUAGAAAAAAGAAUAGAACAAAAAAAUUGAAAAAAAAAAUUAUUAAAUUUAUAAUAUAUUAUUAUUAUUUUGACUAAUAGAUGGAUAAUCAAAUGUGGGAAUAAGUUUUGAGUGGAAUAGCCAAAUAUUAUUAAAUUUACUUUUUUUUAUUACUAAUUUGUC